rnacentral:rRNA from 1 species
GCCAACGGCCAUAUCAUGCUGAAUGCACCAGUUCUCGUCCGAUCACUGAAGUUAAGCAGCAUUGAGCCCUGUUAGUACUUGGAUGGGAGACCGCCUGGGAACACAGGGUGCUGUUGGCA